rnacentral:piRNA from 1 species
UGCCACAUAAACAAACAAACAAAUGAAAUGUA